rnacentral:rRNA from 1 species
GACGAACGCUGGCGGCGUGCUUAACACAUGCAAGUCGAACGAUGAACUUGGAGCUUGCUCUGGGGGAUUAGUGGCGAACGGGUGAGUAACACGUGAGUAACCUGCCCUGGACUCUGGGAUAACUUCGAGAAAUCGGAGCUAAUACCGGAUAGGACCUUGCACCGCAUGGUGUGGGGUGGAAAGUUUUUCGGUUUGGGAUGGACUCGCGGCCUAUCAGCUUGUUGGUGAGGUAAUGGCUCCAAGGCGUCGACGGGUAGCCGGCCUGAGAGGGUGACCGGCCACACUGGGACUGAGACACGGCCCAGACUCCUACGGGAGGCAGCAGUGGGGAAUAUUGCACAAUGGGCGCAAGCCUGAUGCAGCAACGCCGCGUGCGGGAUGACGGCCUUCGGGUUGUAAACCGCUUUUAGUAGGGAAGAAGCCUUCGGGUGACGGUACCUGCAGAAAAAGGACCGGCUAACUACGUGCCAGCCGCCGCCGUAAAAC